rnacentral:misc_RNA from 1 species
CCUGUGUGUGUGUGUGUGUGUGUACGCAGGCUCAUGUGUGCACACAUAAAUACUGACAUACAUAAACACGCCUACACAAAAUUUAUGUGCAUAUAUAAUUCUGGUGGCCAUUUGUUUGGAGGGGCCCUUAUUAAUGUGCUUACUUGGCCUUUUGGUAGGCUGAGGCUGAAGAAAGUUUAAUAACUGAUCCAUUGUGGCCUAAAACUGGUCAGAAGUCUGAUCUUUUGCAAUCCCAGUUUGUGCUUUUGCUUCGUGAUGUAUUACGUUAGUUGUUGAAGUUAGCCUAUAGUUUUCGUUCUUUAUAGCUGCUCCAGCUUGCUGCUAAGAGUCUAAGAAUAUAAAAUAUUUGAUAGUCAUUCUUAUGUUCAGUGAUUGGAUUGCUGCUACUGAAGAUCUUAUAAAUAAUAUUUAUUAGAUAGUUUGCUUCAUUUACGAAACCUUCUUUUUCUGAUUGUUAAGGGUGCUAGUCUUUAAAUUUGCUGAGCCAUACUAUAAGAAAGACUUGGGAGCCAAAUUUUGAUUAUAUGGUACUGUGUGAGUGAUCCAACGCCAAUCUUUGAUAGUUUGAUUAAGCCAGUUAGAUAUGAUCUGCAGACAUUAUUAUGUAUUAUAAAUUAGUGGAUUGUGGCCUCUGUUUGUGAGUGCAUGUUUGUUUUUAGGAUCAAGCUACCUGCUACUCCACUCUGCCAAGGUGAAUAAAAAACCAGGUUGCAUGAAUAUUUUUCUGUUUUGUUAUAUAAUUUACAGGAAUAUGUUAACAUUGGCACUAAUGCAAUGAAUGGGGUUAUCAUAUUUUAGACGAAGUCUGGUAAGCUUCUAAAGGCAUUGCUUCUUUGUGAGCUUCCUCUCAUUUGGUCCCUCUACCUAUUGGUCUCAUCUUAUCUGAAACAAACCUAUAAAAUCUCUAUCCAUGUAAAUGGAAUAGGCCAACUUACUCCGUCAAACAAGAGUAGGAAACUGGCUUGCUAUAAUUGCAGCAUAUGAUUGAAGUGCAAUGAUCCACUCACCAUAUGGAUGCUAAGUUACCUUCAAAAUUGAAGAUUCUAGUAAAUAGGCUCAUGUAUAUAUGGUUCUUUUCCUCCUAUUUGAGGUUGAUGGAAGUUUUUACACCAUGUUUGGACAAAGAUCUAAAAUUCAGCUUGUUUGAAAUUCAGUUUUCUUUUUAUUGGUUUCUUGGAGGAAGGAUUUUUAUUAGAAAUUAAUAUUUUAGGACCUAGAAAUUGUGGUAGGUGACCAAAUUGUCUAUUUGAAAUCUUAAAAUCCAUUGGUUACUUAUUCUAAAUUUGCAUUCAUUGUGGAAAUAAUUGCAAAUUUGACCAUUAACCCUUAAUAAUAUUCAGUGCUUUCUUCUCAUGUCUUGUGCAAGCUAGUGCUGGUGUUUAAUUGCAAUUAAUUGAAAUGGUGUUUUUAAGUGGCUUCACUUAUUUGUUGACAACAGAAGGAAGGAAGUUUUGGCCUCAAGCACUUCUUGAAGCAGUUGUCUAGAUAUUUUAUGUGCUUGUUUCAUCUCCCAAAUGAAUCAAGUGCCCUUUAAGCACACUUUCCCCUGCUCUUAGUCUCUUGUGUGCUUCUUUGAAUCAUCUAUAAUUUUGUUAAAUUCAAUAAAGUUUUUGUCUCUUUGAACUUAAACCUUUUUAUAUAUUCAAAGGUUCUAGAGUGAGAUAUCAGAGAAGAAUCCAAGGUCCUGUAUAUAAAUAGUGCCAAAUUUUUAAAAUAAGAUGCAUAAAAUAGGAAAACCAUGAAAUAGUGGUCCAAUUCGUGAACCAUUAAACGAGAGUAAAUAGGAAGGUUAGUUAGUUCUUGCUUGUUUUAAGGGUUGUAGCAUUCCUGAAUGCCCAGGUCACAUAUUGUGCUCUGGCAGCUUGAUGUGUUUCCAAAUCUUAUGGUUUAUUCUCUCUUAAGGUUUAUCUGACUAUUUUAUAAGGAUUGUCUGCCUUUUGAUUUGGCAAAUCUUGGACUUUCUUCUCUUUGGACUUAAUUGAGAAUGGUUAGCUUUUCCUAGGAAGUUCAUUGGCAUAUUUUGACUUCACAAAAUCUCUAAUUUAAAUUGAACUUCGUAGCCAGAUCUUAAGUAGUUUGAAUGUAGACUAGCUUAUGAAACAUGACUUGGGCUAAUAUAUCUGAAGAGGGUGAGCAUGGUUUUUUUUUGAAAUGGAACGUAGUUGUAGAAUUGGCAGCUGAGCUUGAAAUCUAGUCUUUGUUUGCUGAGAUCAACAAGUACCAUCUUAUACAUUUUAAAGCUUUGUAGUUUCUAGUUAAUAUCGCAUGGGUCUGCUCUAGAAAUUUAUUUAACUUAUGGGCUAUGGCUGCAGUAUUUAGACUAAAAACUGGACUGUAUCUAGGCAAGCUUCUACUCAUUGAUUAUGCAAACAAUUAAUCUUAGGAUGAGGUUGAACUUUUGUCAAUCCUAUCCCAGCAAAUACAAUCCUGAACUAAAUUUGGUGAACGUGGCUAUCUCUUAGCCAUAGUCACAAACAUAUUUUAUCAUCCUUGACUAAUUGUUGCCUUUAAACUCUAUUGAUGUCAGUAAACUAUGACUUCCAUUAAGCCAAGGGAGUUGCUGAAAUAUGUCAUUUUUUCAACUAGGAGAAGUUGAAUAAGGAGGCAUUUUCAUUGGUCUUGGAUUGCUUGCCAGGAAGAAUAGGUAUGGAUCUUUUAAUUCACUUGCCUUGGUCAUGGUAAGUACACUGGUGACUAAAUCAGGUUCAGAAUAGCUUGGAUAGUAAACUUCUGACAGGUUUUAAAUCUGGUUGUAAACAGCUGGGAUUGUGUCAGUAGUUUACUAUUUCAACCCGUGUUGCUCAGACUUGGGUACAAGUGUCUGAUGCAUGAUCAUGCCUGACACUGGUACACUCAGUUCUUGUAUAUUCUUCCUUGUAUUUGGAUAAUUGUACUCAAGUACCCAUGUCUAUUCUGAGUAUAUGACAGGGUCCUUAAGGGUAUAAUGAAGAGUCAGAGCAACGGAGGUUCUGACAAAUUCAGAUUGUGUAGUGAGCUGCUGAUGGAUAUGUAAGGUUUAAGCCAAAAUAAUUUGCUUGUGUCAAUAAAAAAUUUUGAAAUGUGUCUGUCUCCUAUAUCAUUUGAAGCAGCAAAACUUUUGUUUUAAAGCAUGUGCAAGAUCAAUUCUAGUGCUUUAGCAAAUUACCAAGUUUCAUUUACUUGUUUUUGUUUAAGCUAAAUGAUUUUGAUCUUGGCAUGGAAUUUUUGGCAGGCCUAAGUUUAUGCACAAGUUGCAAUUAUAACUGUUAAAAACUUUUUGAUCAUGUCAAGGAUUAGAACUGUGUUUCAUAAUGUAAAAGAGAGUAGCGUCAUUAACUAAGAGAAGGACUGCUGGUCAGGCAUCAGAUAUUGUCAUAAGAGUAGUUAUUUUGAGAGAAGAUACUACCUGUAUUUUUUUCAUAAUAUGAUAAUAUGUAGAACAAGGUUCAGAGAAGGUAGUUUGUCUUUCUCCCAUUGAUGUUGGAACAAGUUACAAUUUGAAGAUAGAAUCCUUUUUGCUUAAACAUGAUUGGAGGUACUCAAUAUGCAGUUUUGUCUGAUUUCAGACUCUCUUCCUACUUGACACAUAUGGAGAACAGUAUUGACUUUUCUAUUUUUCUUCUUUUCUUUUUUUAUAAUUACAUUAUUGAAAACCAUUUUAAGAAAAUUUUGC